UACGUAGGGGGCGAGCGUUGUCCGGAUUUAUUGGGCGUAAAGAGCUCGUAGGCGGCUUGGCAAGUCGGGUGUGAAACCUCCAGGCUCAACCUGGAGACGCCACUCGAUACUGGCUAUGGCUAGAGUCCGGUAGGGGACCACGGAAUUCCUGGUGUAGCGGUGAAAUGCGCAGAUAUCAGGAGGACACCGGUGGCGAAGGCGGUGGUCUGGGCCGGCACUGACGCUGAGGAGCGAAAGCGUGGGUAGCAAACAGG
rnacentral:rRNA from 1 species